AGCAAAGGUUUAAACAGGAGGCCCACUUAACAAUCUGGGCCCCUGAAUCACGCCGCCUGCUUUCGGCUGCUUAAGCAUUCGAUUUAACUUGAAUGGGAGUGGUGAGGAAGGUUAAACAGGGCAAGAAAAGACUGCUGGGCUGGGCGGGCGGACAGAGCUGGAAGCUGCUGUGUUUGUGUGUUCAUGCCUAUGCUCUUUCCGCGGUUGGGACCGGAGUCACAAAAGGAGGUGUGAGUAAUUUAUGAGCGCCAUUGUGCAACGGUCGACGUUAGGCUUGUCUGAACAACAGUUCAAUGGCUUUUGAGCAUGUUGGAAAGGAAGGUUUUUGGGGUUUUUUUGUAGGGGGGGUGGGUUUAAACCAAGAUGCCCCUUUGAAAAAGGGUCCUGAAAACUUUUCAACUAUCUUUUGUGGGAGUCCCCUGCUCCAAUCUCAUCAGCUUACAGAAACAGCCAUAUGGGACCAGGGAGAAAGCAGAAGGCAGAAUUUACAGCCAGGCAUAAAAGCGCAAUUGAAACUUGAAUAGGCAUUUGGUCCUUGACUUUUCUUAGUGUUCUGUCUUCUAACUGGGAGAGGAUAUGAGUCUCUGCAACAGCUGCGUGACAGCUAGAAAUCACUGGAUCUUCAAGCUGGAGGGAAACUUCCAGCUGUUGGCAAACGGAGGGAGUGUGCACUAGGGGAUGAAGAUGAUGGAUUUAUCGGAGCUAGCCGACCUAACCGGAUGAGUCCACGACCAGAAGGAGGAGGAAUAUCAGGAAGAAUGGAAUAAAUUUAAUGAUUAUUUAGUUAAAUUUGUUAAGUUAAAUUAACCAGAAAUAGCUUGCAGAUACCUAAUAGGCUUAGGCUUUUGUUUAUGUUAAGUGAUGAAUUAAUAUGUUUAAUUAUAUAAGGUAAAGAUUUAAGGGUGUUAAUGUUUAAGUUAAAUUUCAUAAAAAUUGGGAUUUGGAAAACGGUUAAAAGGACAUGCAAUGAAAUUCAACCAAGGGGAAGCGAGGAAGUCACUUAACAAAGUUAAUAACUGUAAUUUUCAAUAAGGCUAUGAUUUAUGUUUGUUAUGUUUGUUUGUCUUGUGUGUUUGUUUGUUUGUUUGUUUGUUUAUAAUAUUGUGAAAACCAAUAA